ACAACUCAAGCCACACAUUAAUCAUCAAAGUAGAUUAUUAGUUUUGUUUUCUUUUGGUUGAGAAGAGUCUACGUAGUAGACAUUGGUGUUGGACUACGAAUCUGGAAGUGCCUUGUUACUUGUUCUUCUUUUUUUUAACUUUAAAUAGGACAAAGCUGGAGCAGAGCAUCCUCUGGGAGCCAUGGUUUCAGAUCGUCGUCUUCUCCUUCUUUUCCUUCCAGACCAAUUUCUUUUUUUUUUUCUUUUCCUUGCCAUCCUUUAGAAUCCUCCGUUUGAGAGCCUUUUGUGAACGCCGUAGGUGCAAGCGCAGGCAAGGAUUUUGGCAGCAAGUAGAGGCAGGAACUUUGACAGCAACAACCAUUUCAUCGCCGGGAUUUGGUGGAGAAGGUUGCUUGAAGGACUUCCAAGAGAACAUCAAGGGUGGUGCAAGGCCAUUUGUUGUGUUGCGGUGGAAAGGAAGGCAGGAGAUAGAAGGCUUUUGGUGGUGACCGUUGUUGGUUUGCAGAACAGAUGACAUGACAUUCCACCGAUUGGUCAUACACUCGUGGAUACACAUGUAUCAUAUACGAGAUUGCGACCGUUCGGGGAUCUCCAUAGCUCCAGUGACAAGAGAUACUGCACAGAAAAAAUGAAGUAGCAUGGUAGAUCAGAGAGGCCCCAACCUUUUCAUCGUUGGCUUGUCGGCUCCUCCUUAAAACUGCUGAACACUUCUCUUCUCUGCAGCAGGGCUUCGUCUCUUUCUUGAUGUAUUUCCUGUGUUGUUGCUUCUCUCCAGCCUUUUCUGCUCCUCCCUUCGUUGCCUCUCUGCUGCCCCCCUUCACUUGUUGUAAAGAGCCUUUAUAUAGGCAACGUAGAAGAAUAAAGAUCAUGCGGGUUAACCAUAACUCUUUUUUUGAAUUUGAAAUGAUCUUCAGAUGACGAUAACCAUUCCCAUAUUCAAACUUGUAACUGUGGGAACUAUCCACAACUUCCAGUAUGGAAUUUGAAUUUUGAAAGCUUGAUACAAAAUGAGCUAUCUGAUUGCUACUUGAAAGAGAAGUCCACAAGUUCAAAUGAA